GGCGCCCUCAUUGUCACUUCUCUCAGACAUACCCAUGUUAAAAAUCUGAUCCCCAUCGGCACAUUCUGAUAUAACCACAUCAUUUAACCUGGAAUCGGAUAACUCAAUUUCUUGUGAUUCAGUAUCGGCAGAUUUAUCAGAAAUCGAAUCAGGUGCUUCUACAUUAUGGCCAAUCUUUAACUUGUGUUGUUUGUCUGUCAACAGUUUAGAUGGAACACAGUUGGCAGUGGAUGAAUCACUUCUCAUAGCUAUAAUAGGAUCUCCUAAUUGAGGGUUCCCUCUACCAUCAUGGAAUUCUGAGUGCUUUGAACAAAAGGCCCUUAACUCAACAUUCUCAGAUCCAUAUUUUCCCCAAACCUCCAUUCUUUGUCUCGCCUCCCUUGCACAUAUAGGAUGAAAUGCAGUUCUACACGUUCCAUGACUGCAACGAACACAAGCACCACACCCAACCUGGUGUACCACCGAGAAAAAGAAAACCGUAAUUGGACAACAAGGGAGCAACACACAUACCAUGACUGCAACGAACACAAGCACCACACUUCACCUUGCAUACAUUGCACACUAAUUUCCUCCGUGUUUCCUUUAUUUCUUGUACAUUCAUAAUAGGUUCCAUCUUCAAUAAGUCCUCUACAUAUACCUCAGGCAUCCACAGAGAACAAAACAAGUGUGCAAACUCAACAAUAGACCCACUACUUUCCACACCAACAGGUUUCAAAGCACCACACUGUUUUGGGCAAAGCACACAAGGCUGCUUCACUGAAUCCUCAUCAACAGUCUUGUGCUUACACCAAGAACAUAGCCAAGACUCAUCUACAUCCCCUUGUAUGCCAUAACAGUUGAGAUGAACGGAGACCUUACAAGAAGAGCAAACAAUCAAUCGGUUUGAUUCAUUACCCAUCUCACCCUUGCAGCAAAAAUCACACGAUGAUAAGUUCCCUUCACAAGGAGAAACAAUCAAAAUUUUCUCUAACCCAGCAUCCGUACCUAAAAGCUUCCGCUUCUUGGAUGGCCGCUCCGAGGUCAACAUAAUCCUACUCCUACAACUUAAAAGCCACUCUAAGCCGCUGGAGAUAUCUGAAAUGGAGCAAGCUUUUCCUUCCUCCUGAGACAAACACUCGACUCUGUCACUUUGAGCUCCUACACUGUCAAUUUCCAUGAACUGCUCGUCCUCUUGCUUCACCUCGUCUUUUACCAAAACCUCAUUUAAAUGUGAACUUUCGUUCGCAUAAUUCACAGUCACAUUGUUAUCCACGACCUCAUUUGCAUGUGCACUUCCAUUCCCACAAUUCACAAUCACAUUCUUAUCCAAGUUCUCUGUAUCAACCACUGGCACAUGUUUCUCAUUUCCAAUGUACGGAAUCAAAAAACACUUACUAGCAGCUAAAGACCUAAUUGAAGAAGAUAUGUCGAACAAAGCAUCAAUAUCCAGCAGUGCCAAGUCCCUAAAGUACUCCUCAGUUUCAACCCAAAUAUUCCCUCCCUUGGACCGCUCACUUGCCCGCGAAGACUUUUUAUCUGCUCUAGAAUGUGACUUCUUAUGCCUCUUCCUAGUAUCAGAAUGCUUCAGCAAACUGGCCAAUCCACAAGGCAAAGUAGAAAAGCUUGAACUACCAACCGAAAUGUUGGACCCCGACCCGUCCUCAGGGACAUCGAAUGGGGAGCGUUCGCUUAGAACUUUACGAGCCUGCGAGAAGAAAUCAACGUCACAUGAAGAAGGCUUCUUUUUUGUUGUUGGAGAUACUUGUUGGGUCGCCAGAACCCUAGAAAUCAGGCGGCAAGGCCUCUCUUCAGUGCCGCAACCUCCGUCAGGACCCCUACCCAUCAUCUUCUUCCGCCGGGUGCAUCGGCCACCGGUCAUCUCAGAGACCAGCCACCGGCACCACUUAAAGCACCGCCACCACCUUCGUAUUCCAUAACCCAAACCCUAACCCUAAUUAAUCCCUCGGCGGAGCAAAACCCUAAUUUUCCAAACGUAAACCUAACGCAAACCCUAAUCUAACUCUUCAGUGGCGUUUCAGCGUUCGCGUGCACGAAGAUGGAAGGAAAGAAAGAGGAUAAAAAAUCACGGCUAGGGUUAGGGUUUCAGUUAUUCAGGUUCGUGCUGUUGGGGAUUCGUUUUCACGAUUUUCUUUUUUUUUUUUUUUUGUGCAGUU
rnacentral:misc_RNA from 1 species